GUGCAUACAAAUCUUCCAACAGACUCAAAACAAGCUCCAAUAUAAAGGAAUGUGGGGCCCGUUUGCUGUACGAGAGAGAUUUCGAAGAAUUCUGCGGAAUACUGAAACUCCCCAAGCCCAAUUUGAAAUCAGCACUACAUGCAUACGGUCACCAGGCAAGCCAAAUUGGUAGCAGUGGACAUGGUAGCUCUGAUGGCGACGAUGAACCAGUCAGCAAAAGAUUCAAGAAAGUCUAAAUUAUUUUGGGCUUGGUUCAAUCAUUCAAUGAUGUCUCAAAAAGCUAAUGACGUUGGUCAAUUCUCAGAAUUCAACUCAGCCUCGAGUAAAAGAACAUUUUCAGAACCUUUCAAUGCUGUGCUAUCAAACUGUUGCAAUAGCCAAUUAUGUGUUCAAUCCAAUCUUGCUCAAAACACAAUCAAUUUUGAGAAGAUGGAGAAAAGGUAGACAACCUGACGAUUCGGAAUUCCUCUGGCUUUGCAAAGUGAAAUUGUUAUGUGAAUGCAAUCCUAUUAGAAAGGCGAGCUGAAUGUAAAGCAUCAUUCUUAAUUAGCAUUGAGUGACGAUUGGCUUUGUCUAGGGUUUGAUAUUGUGUUUAUGGUUUCUGAUUUUGGGGUUAUUUGUUAUUUUGGACCUUAGACUUUGGUCUUUUGAAUUGGGGUUUUAUUUUUGGGAAAUUGACCUACAUACUUCCCCAGAAUGCCCCUCCCUACUCGAGAUGAACCUUGGUUUGGUGAAUUGAAGUUGACCUUAGAUGUAAUCAAGAAUGCUAUAUUGAGGGCCUUAUAUAUGACCCUUAGGUGAGACCUUAUCUCUUAAUCGUUGGAUCAAAUUGAUUAGCUUGAUUCAACAGUUAAGAGAUGAAACCUCAUCUAAAGGUCAUAUAUAAAGCCUUCACUAUAAAAUGACUCAUAAUAUAAAACUUGUAACAUUAAAAUCGAGGCCCCGCUGAUUGUUGGAAUGACGAAAAGCCGGGCUGGGCCUCGGUUUUAAUAUGUUUGAGCCCAUGCUUCUGUUU